UGUGCCCUUGAGGCGUGGCUUCCGGAGCUAACGCGUUAAGUAGACCGCCUGGGGAGUACGGCCGCAAGGUUAAAACUCAAAUGAAUUGACGGGGGCCCGCACAAGCGGUGGAGCAUGUGGUUUAAUUCGAUGCAACGCGAAGAACCUUACCUGGUCUUGACAUCCACAGAAAUUUGCAGAGAUGCGAAUGUGCCUUCGGGAACUGUGAGACAGGUGCUGCAUGGCUGUCGUCAGCUCGUGUUGUGAAAUGUUGGGUUAAGUCCCGCAACGAGCGCAACCCUUAUCCUUUGUUGCCAGCGAUUAGGUCGGGAACUCAAAGGAGACUGCCAGUGAUAAACUGGAGGAAGGUGGGGAUGACGUCAAGUCAUCAUGGCCCUUACGACCAGGGCUACACACGUGCUACAAUGGCGCAUACAAAGAGAAGCGACCUCGCGAGAGCAAGCGGACCUCAUAAAGUGCGUCGUAGUCCGGAUUGGAGUCUGCAACUCGACUCCAUGAAGUCGGAAUCGCUAGUAAUCGUGGAUCAGAAUGCCACGGUGAAUACGUUCCCGGGCCUUGUACACACCGCCCGUCACACCAUGGGAGUGGGUUGCAAAAGAAGUAGGUAGCUUAACCUUCGGGAGGGCGCUUACCACUUUGUGAUUCAUGACUGGGGUGAAGUCGUAACAAGGUAACCGUAGGGGAACCUGCGGUUGGAUCACCUCCUUA
rnacentral:rRNA from 1 species